AGUGAACGCUGGCGGUAGGCCUAACACAUGCAAGUCGAACGGCAGCACAGGAGAGCUUGCUCUCUGGGUGGCGAGUGGCGGACGGGUGAGGAAUACAUCGGAAUCUACUCUGUCGUGGGGGAUAACGUAGGGAAACUUACGCUAAUACCGCAUACGACCUACGGGUGAAAGCAGGGGACCUUCGGGCCUUGCGCGAUUGAACGAGCCGAUGUCGGAUUAGCUAGUUGGCGGGGUAAAGGCCAACCAAGGCGACGAUCCGUAGCUGGUCUGGGAGGAUGCUCAGCCAAACUGGAACUGAGACACGGUCCAGACUCCUACGGGAGGCAGCAGUGGGGAAUAUUGUACAAUGGGCGCAAGCCUGAUCCAGCCAUACCGCGUGAGUGAAGAAGGCCUUCGGGUUGUAAAGCCCUUUUGUUGGGAAAGAAAUCCAGCUGGCUAAUACCCGGUUGGGAUGACGGUACCCAAAGAAUAAGCACCGGCUAACUUCGUGCCAGCCGCCGCGGUAA
rnacentral:rRNA from 1 species